CGAAUACGAACCGUGAAAGCG
rnacentral:snRNA from 1 species